rnacentral:rRNA from 1 species
AUUGAACGCUGGCGGCAGGCCUAACACAUGCAAGUCGAGCGGAUGAAGGGAGCUUGCUCCUGGAUUCAGCGGCGGACGGGUGAGUAAUGCCUAGGAAUCUGCCUGGUAGUGGGGGAUAACGUCCGGAAACGGGCGCUAAUACCGCAUACGUCCUGAGGGAGAAAGUGGGGGAUCUUCGGACCUCACGCUAUCAGAUGAGCCUAGGUCGGAUUAGCUAGUUGGUGGGGUAAAGGCCUACCAAGGCGACGAUCCGUAACUGGUCUGAGAGGAUGAUCAGUCACACUGGAACUGAAACACGGUCCAGACUCCUACGAGAGGCAGCAGUGGGGAAUAUUGGACAAUGGGCGAAAGCCUGAUCCAGCCAUGCCGAGUGUGUGAAGAAGGUCUUCGGAUUGUAAAGCACUUUAAGUUGGGAGGAAGGGCAGUAAGUUAAUACCUUGCUGUUUUGACGUUACCAACAGAAUAAGCACCGGCUAACUUCGUG